AGCAGCUGAAGGUCCCACGUGCUCCUCAAAAGAAAUUAACUCAUCUCCAGAUAAUCAUCAGAGUCCAACUAAGCGGCUAAUAGAACAGAACAGGACGUGAAAGCAAACAGCCCUUCAAACCCACAGGCCUGUACAUCAAAGGAGUGGUCAACGCCUGAGCACCGUCAGCAGAGCAGCUGCUUUGCCUCUGGGAACAUGCGGGAGAUAGGAGGCUUCCUCCUUAACCCUACUGCAGAGGACUUCUCCUCUUUUACCAGCAGCCUCCUGCAGUACCCUCCCGGGUAAUGGAGCAGGGGUCGCUUCCCUUCCCAUGAGACCUUUGUUCAGGCACUCAAGUGGAAGGUUGAGCAAUAAGCCAACUUUCUUGCUCAGAGGCUCCGCAGACUUCCUGUGGUUGUUUGUUCCACUCUGUGGUCAGUCAAGCAAGCUCACCGCCUGAUUCUCUUAUUGUUGUACUAAGCACAAGCUAUUAUACUUAUGAUUCAUAAUCAUAUUAGUAAAGCACUAUUCUAAAGCA
rnacentral:lncRNA from 10 species